rnacentral:rRNA from 1 species
UACGGAGGGGGCAAGCGUUGUUCGGAAUUAUUGGGCGUAAAGGGCGUGUAGGCGGCCAAACAAGUCGGGUGUGAAAUCCCUCGGCUCAACCGAGGAACUGCACUCGAUACUGCUUGGCUUGAGUCCGGGAGGGGGUAGUGGAAUUCCCAGUGUAGCGGUGAAAUGCGUAGAUAUUGGGAAGAACACCAGUAGCGAAGGCGGCUACCUGGACCGGAACUGACGCUGAGGCGCGAAAGCCAGGGGAGCGAAUGGGAUUAGAACUCG